GAUGAACGCUGGCGGCGUGCCUAAUACAUGCAAGUCGAGCGAACGGACGAGAAGCUUGCUUCUCUGAUGUUAGCGGCGGACGGGUGAGUAACACGUGGAUAACCUACCUAUAAGACUGGGAUAACUUCGGGAAACCGGAGCUAAUACCGGAUAAUAUUUUGAACCGCAUGGUUCAAAAGUGAAAGACGGUCUUGCUGUCACUUAUAGAUGGAUCCGCGCUGCAUUAGCUAGUUGGUAAGGUAACGGCUUACCAAGGCAACGAUGCAUAGCCGACCUGAGAGGGUGAUCAGCCACACUGGAACUGAGACACGGUCCAGACUCCUACGGGAGGCAGCAGUAGGGAAUCUUCCACAAUGGGCGAAAGCCUGACGGAGCCACGCCGCGUGAGUGAAGAAGGUCUUCGGAUCGUAAAACUCUGUUAUUAGGGAAGAACAUAUGUGUAAGUAACUGUGCACAUCUUGACGGUACCUAAUCAGAAAGCCACGGCUAACUACGUG
rnacentral:rRNA from 1 species